ensembl:lncRNA
GCAUCUCUGGGCUCCAGCGGCGCCGGCCCGCCGCGCUCGGCCCCAAGCUGCUGGUGGGCAAGGAGUUAAGAUGGCGCGCGACGCGAGUGGCGGGAAGGCUUGAGCCAGAAUAAAGAGCCGCACGCUCAUCUUUUUUUCUUCCUCUUUUUGAAAUGCCACUUUUGAAAACAGAAAAUCUGCAGUUUACGGGGAGGAUUCGUCAUCCUUCUCCGUCCCUACCCUGACUCCUACCCUCAGGGAGAUAAAAAGGCAACUCGAAAUCUAACCCGGGACGCGAACUCUGGUUCCCGCAGGCCCUCCCCCAAAACGCUCUGAUUUCCUUGAAACAGCAGCAGCUUCUCAGACACACUGACAGUGUCACUUCACUAGACACCCAAGACUCCUUGUAAGCCAGGAGAAACGAUCAUGCUUGAAAGGGACAGGAAAGCACACUGCCUCCGAGAGGAGCGCGGAGCUGCAAAUUUACCUCACGCUGACUCAGUCCACACAGCAGAUGGUGCAGAGCUGCAAGGGAAACGACCUCCCCAAUUUUUUUAAGUACUUCCUAAUAGCAGCUAAGUGCGUCUUUCAGUACAAGGCACUACGUUCCUGUGAAAUCUAUCCUCGGCUUCUAAGAGCUUCGUUUCCGCACAUGACACCGACUCCUUUGCUCGCGGUGACUCUGGCCCCAGGGUGGCGGGCCUGGCCCGGCGCCGUGCCCCGACCUCCAGGCUCACUCCCCGGAACCCUUAGCGGCUUGGCAGCCCCUCGCCCUCGACCUGGGCGCCCCCGGGCCUCCAGACUGCACGUGCGCCUCCUGCUCGCUGGCACCGAGGUCGAAGGAGCGCAGGGCCACAGGAUGAUUACAAGAAUACACCGCUCCACUUAACUCGCCACGCAGACCCCCUGUUCUGUACUUUUAGUCCUCUUGUUUAGUUCUUAGGUGUGAUCCGGGAGAAACAAACACAAAGGAAAAUCAGACAUCGCUUUUCUAUGUGGCAGACAAAACUCGGCGGAACGCCGUCUAGUGGCCAAAUUACCCAAGAAAGGCAAAUCGGUUUCGCUCCCCACCUCCAAUUUUCAUUUUAAUUGGUACUUUGAAGCCUCUUUUCAUCUGUCAAAUUGCAAAGGGGAUACAGGACCAUCUCUGGAUGGUGGUAAAUUUCGCCCCAUAACCUGAGACUGGCCUAGGCCAAACAAGAAUGCUGAACCAUUUUCCACCUUUCUUGGAUCUCCUUCUCUGGAGACAAGAGUAAAAGAGAGCUCUGUGGACCUUGACUAAGACGCAACUAGCCCCCUCCCAGCUGGAAUAUCCACAUUUCUGCACUUUUUCUCAAGGGAUGGAGACCUGGCUUGGGCUGGAUGGGCGCAGGAAGUCCACUGUAGAAGAGAUGGAGUGGUGCCCCACAGAUAACCUCCUAAAGCAAGUUUUAAGCUCACUGGUUAAAUAUCGACCUUUCAUGAGUUUGCUCUAUGAGUACUUUCCCCACUCCAACCCCUCCCUAUCCCCCCAAAAUAAAACAGUCAAG